rnacentral:lncRNA from 1 species
CAUGUAAUAAGUUAAAAAAACAUUUCACUUUCUGCAGGAUAGCUGCAACCAACUCAUCAUUUAAAAUGACAUGGUUACAGGAGCAGAGAAAACGUUGGUGCUACUGUGUUAUAAUGCGUGCUGCAAUGCUUCUGCUCUUUGUUUUCUGCAACCACGUUGUAGGAAAAGAUUCUGGGAAAAAUCUGGAAAGGAGAGAGCUUUUGGUUUCAAAAGGUAAACGAUUUACGGCGAGGUCCACGUUCCUAAGUCAUAUUUGGUAUUUCA